UGAGGACGGUCCCACAUUUCGGAAAGUGGAGAGAGCGGCGGAGAAAUUUAUUCUGAACAUCGAAGCGCACGCAUGUUCAUUUCGCUCCCCUCCUCUGUCUCUAGGUUAGUCUCUCUCAUGUAUCCGUGCUCGCAUCGUCCCGCGAUUUGCAUUCAACCUCUCGCACCCCCCACAUAUCGGCGCCCUUUUGCUGGAUUCGGUGGCCAUCUACGGCAUCCCCGGAUGAGCGGGGGGAUUCCGCCGCAGCAUCCGAGCGGGGGUUGUGGAAGCGCAGAUCAAGGAAGGCAUGUUUCUCUCCCUCUCCCCUGUUUCCGCGCACAUCCAAAUCUCUGCGUGCACCCUGUUUUUUCUAAUCGAGGUUUUGAUUCCGGGGGGCAUUUGUUUUGGAGAUGUUCACGGGGAAGGGGACGCUUGUGCUCAUCCCCGGGUGAUUUUUGUUGACCAGCGCCGCGAGCAUCAGCGCCUUCUGCGACAAAUUGAAGGCCCGAGGUGUCAGGAUGGAACAACGGAGAAGAGAGGGAAGUACAUGUGAAGCGGCGGCGGCGUGCAACGCAAACCUGCUUGUGGCGGUUAACGACGUCCGGGUACACGCAAAGAUCCAAUGCUAGCGAGACCACCUGAAGAUCAGUUGGGUAACGUCGUGGGGCUGCAAUCGUAGUUUUUUUUUUUACCAAACUCGAGGCCCCUUUUUGGAACACUGAUUUUUCUGCAGCCAGCAAGGAAGUAAUAAGAAGCACACAAAGUGGGAAGUUGAAAUCAGAGAGCCUUUAGGAAGAUGGUGCACAAUAAGUUAUGUCAUCAAAUCAGCAACGUAACAUGCUCUUCAGCUUGGUGUUUGGUGGCCUGAAAGUUCAUCAGAUUGUCAUCAGCAGCACUUUCAGUUGCAGCUCAACCUCAAUUUUGAUUCAUGAGCAGCUUGGUAGUAGUUGUUGUAGCUCUAAUCUUUUUUGUUUGGUCAGCAGAACAGUGGAGGCAAUCAGGCAAUCACAUGUAUGUUGGUAGUUUUGAAAUUUUGUUAAGGCUUAGAAUUUAGAUAGGUGAAAAUGCAUUUGUAUAUGUUCUAAUUUGUUUAAUGUUUUUCAAUGAAUUGCUUAUCGGAGAGUAAAAUUGAGGUCUGUUUGUUUA